CUACGGGAGGCAGCAGUGGGGAAUCUUGGACAAUGGGGGAAACCCUGAUCCAGCCAUGCCGCGUGAGUGAUGAAGGCCUUAGGGUCGUAAAACUCUUUCGCCUGUGAUGAUAAUGACAGUAGCAGGUAAAGAAACCCCGGCUAACUCCGUGCCAGCAGCCGCGGUAAUACGGAGGGGGUUAGCGUUGUUCGGAAUUACUGGGCGUAAAGCGCACGUAGGCGGACUAUUAAGUCAGAGGUGAAAUCCCGGGGCUCAACCCCGGAACUGCCUUUGAUACUGGUAGUCUAGAGUUCGAGAGAGGUGAGUGGAAUUCCAAGUGUAGAGGUGAAAUUCGUAGAUAUUUGGAGGAACACCAGUGGCGAAGGCGGCUCACUGGCUCGAUACUGACGCUGAGGUGCGAAAGUGUGGGGAGCAAACAGGAUUAGAUACCCUGGUAGUCCACACCGUAAACGAUGAAUGCCAGUCGUCGGGUAGUAUACUAUUCGGUGACACACCUAACGGAUUAAGCAUUCCGCCUGGGGAGUACGGUCGCAAGAUUAAAACUCAAAGGAAUUGACGGA
rnacentral:rRNA from 1 species